AUGUUCCCUACAGUUGUCAAAGUGCUAGAAUAUGUGGAAGAAGAAGACAGGGAUGACACAAAUAGAAGGCAGGCAUGUGGUCUCCUUGUUUAUUUCCAGUCUUUUGAUUUUCUGUUCUACUUACAGCUUAUGUCCACUAUAUUGAUAAUCACAAACACAUUAUCAUUGGCUCUACAACGGAAGAAUCAGGACAUUGUGAAUGCUAUUAAUUGUGUGAAUUCAACCAAAGCCUCCUUGAAUGAUCUAAGGAGAAAUGGAUGGGAAUCUGUCCUACAUGAAGCAUAUGUCUUUUGUGACAAGCAUGACAUUUCCAAGUUGCAAAUGGAAGACCAAUAUGUGAACCCAAAGAAGCCACGGCAAAAAACAGGUAUCACUAAUAGGCAUCAUUAUGAAGUGGAUUGUUUUAAUGAUGUUAUUGAUUGGCUGCUUCAAGAACUUGAUAAUCGCUUCAAUGAGAAAAAUUCUGAACUACUUGUUUGCUCAGCGGCAUUGAGCCCAAAUGAAUCAUUUCAUGAUUUCAACUUAGAACAUUUGAUGAGUCUAGCUAAACUUUAUCCAAAAGAUUUUGAUGAUGGAAAACUCAGGGACCUUAGGCAUCACCUUCAUCUUUACAUUGCUGAUGUCCGAGCAGAUGAUCGCUUCUCUGGAUUAAGUAAUAUUUGUGAGCUCUCUUAA
rnacentral:rRNA from 1 species